UCCCGUUUGUCCUCAGAAACAGGGAGCGUGCCCUGGCCUCCUUCCUCACAUUUGUGCAGUGACAGUUGUAUGUGUGGCGAUCUGGGUCAGCCUCAUGUAUAGUGCAUAUGGGGCUUAGCCUAGCAGCGAUCACGCAGAGCAGGCACUCAGGGAUAUUUUGUUAACAGAACUUUUACUUGAAUGAACGAAUGAACAAGUGAAGUGUGAAGGUCUUUACAGCAAAAUCAUUUUGCGUCCUCAGCUGUGACAUGGUGGCAUGGGUGUGGGGGCUCUGCCUUCUCCUCACAUGUCCAUAUACGGACGUGAGGCAGCGGGCAGGGGCUCCUCUGUGAGGUCUCACCCUCUCUGACCUCACAAUGCCCAGGGUGGCCUCUGGUUUCUAUAAGAGGCCGGGGGGUGGACCUCUGGCUCACAGCCCACAAAGUUCCACCUGCUCACAGGUUGGCUGGCUCAAUCAGGGUUGUGCCCCGAGCUCUGAGCCAACUCUAGGCCAAGUCCAUCCGGCACCAUGGUCAGAUACAGAUGCUGCCGCAGCCAGAGCCGGAGCAGAUGCCGCCGCCGGAGACGAAGAUGCCGACGCAGAAGGCGGUGCUGCCGGAGGCGAAGAGUCAGGAGGUGCUGUCGCCGCACAUACACCCUCAGGUGUAGACGAUACUAAACGCACAGAACAGCAGAUCCACCAGACUCCUGCCUGAGAAUUUUACCAGACUUCAAGACCCUCUCGUCACAUCUUGACAAAGCCAUCGUCCCAUGGCAAACAGGAGCCUGCUCAGGAACAAUGCCGCCUGUCAAUAAAUGUUGAGAUCAUCCCA